CGUGUAGGUGGUGAAUUAAGUCGAUUGUGAAAUCCCUUGGCUUAACCAAGGAACUGCAUUCGAAACUGAUUUGCUUGAGUGAUAGAGAGGUAAGUGGAAUUCCCGGUAUAACAGUGAAAUGUGUAGAUAUCGGGAGGAACACCAGUGGCGAAGGCGACUUACUGGCUAUCAACUGACACUGAAACGCGAGAGCUAGGGGAGCAAACAGGAUUAGAUACCCUGGUAGUCC
rnacentral:rRNA from 1 species